UGGAAUACCCCAAGGAUUUGUGCUUGGUUCUAUGCUAUGAUAAGUUUUGAAAUGAAGGUGGAAAGACUAGGAACAGAGAAACAUGAAGGAACUGUAAUAUAGAUUUGUGAGAAAGGAAAAAAGGAAAGAAAAUGAUAAUUUAAAGGAGUAAUUACUCAAUGGAAUCUUGCUAUUCAUAUAAGACCAGUACACAACAAGAAGAUUAUACAAUGAUCAAUUCUGAUGGAUGUGGCUUUUUCCAACAAUGAGAUGAUUCAGAUCAGUUCCAAUAAUCUUGUGAUAAAGAGAGCCAUCUAUACCCAGAGAGAGGAUUAUGGGAAGACAGGACUGUGUGGACCACAACAUAGCAUUUUCACUCUUUCUGUUGUUGUUUGCUUGAAUUUUGUUUUCUUUCUCUGUUGGAAUCCUUACUAACUGCUAAGUAAUUAGAGUUGAUCUAAUCUUACAAGAAGUUGUUUUGGCCAGAACCUGAAACAAGGUACUAAGUAGAACUAAUCAAGACAAGGCUUGUGUUCCCACCUUUACUCAAGGGAGUCCACACCUUAAAGCUCUUUGGGCCAGAGAGCACUAUGGGAGAAAACCCAUAAUCCCAUUCUCUCAGAAGGUUCACAUAUAAGGCGAGACAGCCAUUCCAGAAUACAUUUUUUCCUCUUGGCUGGCUGAUCGCGCUGGACUCGAAAGGAACGACUCUUGUGCAGAGAACACUUUAACGGAUUUCAGUGGAGCUACACCAGAUGCCCUCUCUCCGCGGCAAGUUGGUGGCUGGGCUCCCCAGAAGGAGAUAAGAGAGACCUUCCAUCUCUGUCUUGGUUGGAGGCAGAAGAAAGCAGAGUCAGAGGCUGAAGGACAGAACCUUUGGAUUUGGAGACAUCCGAAGGGCUCCAAGCCUCUAAACCGGCUGUGCUUUGAGAAGAACAAACUCCAACAUUUGAACUCUAACAUUUCUCAGCUUUUUUUCCCUUUUUGAUCUGAUUUUUCUCAUGCAACAAGAUAAUUGUAUAAAUAUGUAUACAUAUAUUGGAUUUACCAUAUAUUUUAACAUAUUUAACAUGUAUUGGAUUACCUGCCAUCUAGGAGAGGGAUGGGGUAAAGGAGGGGAAAAUUUGGAAUACAAAGUUUUGCAAGGAUCGAUGUUGAAAAAUUAUCCAUACAUAUGUUUUGUAAAUAAAAAAAACUUUAAUAAAAAAGAAAUCAUUCCUAAA